rnacentral:rRNA from 1 species
AGCGAACGCUGGCGGCAGGCCUAACACAUGCAAGUCGAACGAACCCUUCGGGGUUAGUGGCGGACGGGUGAGUAACACGUGGGAACGUGCCUUUUGGUUCGGAAUAACUCAGGGAAACUUGUGCUAAUACCGAAUGUGCCCUUCGGGGGAAAGGUUUAUCGCCUUUAGAGCGGCCCGCGUCUGAUUAGCUAGUUGGUGAGGAAAAGGCUCACCAAGGCGACGAUCAGUAGCUGGUCUGAGAGGAUGACCAGCCACAUUGGGACUGAGACACGGCCCAAACUCCUACGGGAGGCAGCAGUGGGGAAUCUUGCGCAAUGGGCGAAAGCCUGACGCAGCCAUGCCGCGUGGAUGAUGAAGGUCUUAGGAUUGUAAAAUCCUUUCACCGGUGAAGAUAAUGACUGUAGCCGGAGAAGAAGCCCCGGCUAACUUCGUGCCAGCAGCCGCAGUAAAAC